CGCCGGCCACGUACGCCACUUACGCAGCCGGGGCGUCCCCGCCGCCGCCGCCAAACCUGCCGGGUGCAUCCUUCGCCGCAGCCACCACCUCAACAGCGGUUCGUAACGUGCCCGCCCGGCUCCCGUAGCCACGCCCUCCCAGCCACGAGACAGCCAAUGGGCGUCACGACUGAGUGGAAGCCACGCCUUCUCACGGAGGCCAGGACGAGUGGGCGGCGCCUUACGCGCUGAAUUUGCGUUGCUGGGAGCCCCGGGGAGCCAGAGAAGGGCGUGGAGCAGGGGAGGAGAGAUUCCUUUUGUGUUCGCGAGGGGCUCAUCGGAGUUGCGCGGGCUCUGACGCUUAUACGAUUUUGACAGUCCUUAGGUAUUAAGGGCACGCGACUUGGCGAAUGGAGGGAGAACCAGAUGUCGGUUUGCUCCUCGCCACCUCAGCCACGCCCCCUGAUGCAGUGCACGACGACCCUGAGGAUUUGGGGAGCGACUUCUGCAUCCGCGAGCGGAAAGAGUUGGGACUCUCUCUGACCUAGGGAACCGGACUCCCAGGUGGA